rnacentral:misc_RNA from 1 species
CGGCGUUCCGGUCGCGGCAGUCGAUAUGCUCAUGAGCCGAGAUACCCAUCACCGUUGGCCGCGAUAAUCGUCCGCUUGACUGGAUCGGUCGUCGUCAGUUCGAAAACGCGCUCUCGUGCCUGUCCAAGCCUGAGCCAGCGCAGCCUUGUUCGGUAUUGGCCGAUAGCUCCGGCUGAUUUCCAUAACUGCCGCGCUGUAUAGGUGCGCCCGCCAUCCUUCGAGGAACGAAGCAUCCAUUGAGGAUCGGUGCCCUGCCCGACCGAGAUGCCGACUCCGGCCUCAAUGUCCAUUUCGAGGCGAGAAAUAAACACGCGCUUGCGGUCAGCGUGGAUUGGCGGUGACGUAGCCAAUGCCUGCGUGGUCAUGCCAAAUUCANNNNNNNUAGGUCGAAGCGCUCAGAUAGCCAACGCGGCCCGAGUAAGCGUCACCGAUGAGUUCUUUGUCGUAGCAG